CCUUCCUACAUAAUUGGAUGCGCUACACACAGGUCUUGCUCUGUGGCAUCUACUCAGAGGCCCUGGGGUGACAGCAUCUCUUGGAGUCCUGAGCCAGAACCUGUGUCUCAGCUAGGGAGGACUCGAACAGUCCCUUCAGCAAAGAAUUACCUAGAGAGAUACUGGGUCUCUGGUCCAGACAUGUGCUAUCCGGGACAGUGGCCAUCAACAUAGGUGACUGUGGGACCCUUGCAGAGCAACCAGCAGCUCACUAUCACUCCAGAUGAACUUUAAGGAUCACAAAGCGUCACAGGCGAAGAUCAGCAGCUUUCUCAUGAACUAUCUUCCAUGAUCACGUAUUCCAACGACGGCACUUUGGAUACAUUGGGCUUAACAAACUAUUGCAUGAGCAUUAAAGUAAUUCCAUCUCUCUAA